rnacentral:lncRNA from 1 species
GUUUUGGAGAAAGUGCUGUGUCCUGGGCCAGUCUGUCCGGCACCCACAUGGAGAUCAGCGCUGCCUUCCUGUGUGUCUUCAUUCAGCCCCGUCCUCGGGGUCUGAGGAGGUGACCAUCCCCGGGAACUGGGGGCCCUCAGUGCUACUGGCCCCGUGGAUGAGCCCGGGGUUGAGAUGGGAUUUCUGCCAGAAGGAGGAUGGGCACUCGACGGCCUCGCCAUCUGCACUGUGCACGUCGCCCAUCCCCCACCCCCACCCCCAAAGCACACAAAGGAAAGUUGCUGGAGCCCGGAUGCUCAGGCCUGUGCCCAGUUGUGUGCCCCACUGGAGACAAUGCCAUCUGGUUAAAAGAAAUACCCUUGCAUCUCUAAACCGUUGGACGGAAGCAGAAGCCCCCUCCCCACCCCCCGGCGCUAGCUCGGAAAGGCUCUCUGGAACCCUCGAACUGGGACCUUCAACCUCAGUUCUUGGCCUUGGCCUCGCCUCUCCCACCUGAAGACACUCCUCCGUCGGGGAGAAAUUAGGAAGAUUUACUGCAAUGCCGGGGAGAGGACUUCAUUGGACGAUAAAGAAAGAGAGACCAAAAUUUAGUUCUCGAGAGAUUAAAUAGGUUGCUCCCUAAAAAAAUGGUCCCCCGGUGGUAUUUCAUUGGUGUUUGGCAGAGGGUGCCCUUUAGAGUGAGAAGAAGGUGUGUGUAAGUCACGGGAGGGUGGGCGGAAUGAAAUAAACGUACCAUCCCCUGGACCUGGAGAACCCAGUGCGGGUGAACUUGGCCGCUUGGACUGUGGAUGUCAAUCAAAGUAAUGUGUUGGGGGAAGGGGGAGGAAGUUUGUCACCCGUUUUAAUAUCAGAAAUUCCUUUACGUGGGUGGUAACUGGGGAACAGCUGCAGGUAGCUGAAUCACAGCCCAAAUCCUUGCAAAAACGCUGGUGGGACCCCUGCCAACAACUGAGCAAUGGCUUUUCAAGCUGGAAG